UACGGGGGGAGCAAGCGUUGUUCGGAUUUACUGGGCGUAAAGGGCGCGUAGGCGGUCAGCACAAGUCAGUUGUGAAAUCUCCGGGCUUAACUCGGAAAGGUCAACUGAUACUGUGCGGCUAGAGUGCAGAAGGGGCAACUGGAAUUCUCGGUGUAGCGGUGAAAUGCGUAGAUAUCGAGAGGAACACCUGCGGCGAAGGCGGGUUGCUGGGCUGACACUGACGCUGAUGCGCGAAGGCCAGGGGAGCAAACGGG
rnacentral:rRNA from 1 species